rnacentral:misc_RNA from 1 species
AACGCAUAUUGCGCCCUUUGGUAUUCCGAAGGGCAUGCCUGUUCGAGCGUCAUUAUCACCGUGUCAAGCUUGGCUUGUUGUUGGGCCCUUUGUCACCUGGUGACAGGUCCAAAAGAUAAUGACCGGUGUCGUACCGACUCUAUAUGCAACGAGCUGAUCACAGCACGCAUCUGGCAGUCGUACGGCCCGGUCUUCACCCUUUUAUUUCUCAAGGUUGACCUCGGAUCAGGUAGGAAUACCCGCUGAACUUAA